rnacentral:lncRNA from 1 species
GUAAAGCCAUGUUGCAACGUAAAUGAAAUAGAAGACUGAUUAGUUGUGGAUUUUAUUCCAAAAACCAAAGGAAAUGUUUUAAUGUAAAGGAACCCAGACCCAGUGCUUGAAGUCCUGAUGCUCCCUCACUCCCACUGCAUUGAUUUGAGUCCUAGAUAUGUCUUCCCUGACAAUCCAGGCAACCCUGUUUUUAAUUCUUUGGAGACAAUCUGUUAUUAAAUUGAUCUGUGUAUUUAUGUUCUGUCCUAUUCACUGUUAUUUACUAUUCACCAAGGCUGCCAACUUUUAAACAGUCUUGGUGUAAAUGUUUGUUCCCAAACCUUUGCUGAUAGAUGUGUUUUAUGUAACAGUUACAGAGUCCAUUAACACGAAGGACUGAAACACAGAAAGAAACUGCACAGAUUUAUAAGCAUGUGCAGUGCCCUCACCAGAGAGAGACACCAGAAAUAAUAAAUCCAAAGUCAAAGGAAUAUUCUUGAAGCUACCAUUACAGAUUUAUCUACUUCAAAACCUGUUUCGUGGGAUUGAAUCAUACGAUAUAUUACAUUUAAAAGGUUGAAAACAUCACACAGUAGUUUUAAGUUCAGGAACUAAACACUGAACUUGAAAAGAGAGCAUGGAGAAGAAAGACCCUCAGCCUUACUCGGGAAGGAUCGAAAUACUCCCUGACUUCUCACAUAGGCAACAAGGUUGCCUGCCAGCUCCUGGGACAGCCUGCUGGGUUGGAGUGCAGCAUUCCUGCAAUGAGCCUGCCUGUCACCAGGAAGCCAUGCUGCUAGAGAGUGAUGGCUCCACAGAUGAAAGCAACCUUCUCUUAGGAGAUGCCUUUAUUUAUGAAGCAGAAGACAGGCCGCGGCACACUGGAGUGGCUUAUGGAACAGGAUUUGUUGUCUUGAAUGUAGCUGGUGUCCACCCUGUCAAUGCCUGUUGA